CAGCCGCCACGGUAAUACGAAGGGGGCUAGCGUUGCUCGGAAUUACUGGGCGUAAAGGGAGCGUAGGCGGACAUUUAAGUCAGGGGUGAAAUCCCAGAGCUCAACUCUGGAACUGCCUUUGAUACUGGGUGCCUUGAGUGUGAUAGAGGUAUGUGGAACUCCGAGUGUAGAGGUGAAAUUCGUAGAUAUUCGGAAGAACACCAGUGGCGAAGGCGACAUACUGGAUCAUUACUGACGCUGAGGCUCGAAAGCGUGGGGAGCAAACAGGAUUAGAUACCCCUGUAGUCCCUGUCUCUUAUAC
rnacentral:rRNA from 1 species